rnacentral:rRNA from 1 species
GAUGAACGCUGGCGGCGUGCCUAAUACAUGCAAGUCGAGCGAACGGACGAGAAGCUUGCUUCUCUGAUGUUAGCGGCGGACGGGUGAGUAACACGUGGAUAACCUACCUAUAAGACUGGGAUAACUUCGGGAAACCGGAGCUAAUACCGGAUGAUAUUUUGAACCGCAUGGUUCAAAAGUGAAAGACGGUCUUGCUGUCACUUAUAGAUGGAUCCUCGCUGCAUUAGCUAUUUGGUAAGGUAACGGCUUACCAAGGCAACGAUGCAUAGCCGACCUGAGAGGGUGAUCGGACACACUGGAACUGAGACACGGUCCAGACUCCUACGGGAGGCAGCAGUAGGGAAUCUUCCGCAAUGGGAGAAAGCCUGAAGGAGCAACGCCGCGUGAGUGAUGAAGGUCUUCGGAUCGUAAAACUCUGUUAUUAGGGAAGAACAUAUGUGUAAGUAACUGUGCACAUCUUGACGGUACCUAAUCAGAAAGCCACGGCUAACUACGUG